GGGUUGUGAGGUUAAGCGACUAAGCGUACACGGUGGAUGCCCUGGCAGUCAGAGGCGAUGAAGGACGUGCUAAUCUGCGAUAAGCGUCGGUAAGGUGAUAUGAACCGUUAUAACCGGCGAUUUCCGAAUGGGGAAACCCAGUGUGAUUCGUCACACUAUCAUUAACUGAAUCCAUAGGUUAAUGAGGCGAACCGGGGGAACUGAAACAUAUAAGUACCCCGAGGAAAAGAAAUCAACCGAGAUUCCCCCAGUAGCGGCGAGCGAACGGGGAGCAGCCCAGAGCCUGAAUCAGUGUGUGUGUUAGUGGAAGCGUCUGGAAAGGCGCGCGAUACAGG
rnacentral:rRNA from 1 species